rnacentral:lncRNA from 1 species
AAAACUUAAAAAAUGCAAAUAAUCAUGUAAAAUCUUUUUUUUAAGGAAUCUAUCAAUGUUACAUUUGAAAUAAAAAUAUGAUUUUCCAGUGUAGGAACUGGGAAGGGUGGCUGCAGAGGAGAGCAGCAACUCCAGACACACAUGUUGUACACUACAAGGAACCAAACAGAGCAAUUCUAGGACAAUGGGGCCUUUGAAAAUACUGAUUUAUUCUGCAUCUUUUUCACCAUCCUGUGUUGAAGGCGGCCCCUAUCCUCCUUCCUGAGCAGAGCUGCAGCCAUAUGAUCCCGGUGCACUGAAGGGGACACUCUGCAGGACAGAACACUGAAUGCAUUAUGUAGAUCAUUCCUACUAAAGGGGACUCGAUGAAUGCCCCACGAGGGGAAAUGAAACCAUCCCAAAUGGUGGGAUCUUCAGGACACAAGGGAAAGAAAAUCCAGUUAUGAGUCUGCAGUCAUUGAUGCCACUGGAAAAGAAGCUUCCCUGCCCACAGCAACCAGCAGCAACAGGGCCCAUGGACUUCCACAUAGUUCCCAGUAGCCUCUCAGACCAUGGACAUCAAUAUAGCCUCCAGUGCCAGCACAGACAUCAACACGGCCUCCAGUGCAAGCACGGAUCUCAGAAAUCUUUCAAUAAGACUUAACGCAGAAAAUUAACCUUCUUUGACAUCUUUCUGCUGCUCAGAGUGAGGGUGGUUUUGUGAUUGGGCUGCACAUCCAGUGCUGGACCUGCUUUAGUCCCA